AUGCAAGUCGAACGGAACUUGGUAGCAAUACUGAGUUCAGUGGCGGACGGGUGCGUAACACGUGAACAAUCUGCCCGGAAGAGGGGGAUAGCCCAGGGAAACUUGGAUUAAUACCCCGUGUGGUACAGGUGGGCAUCCAUCUGACACCAAAGGUGCUGCAAGGUGCCGCUUCCGGAUGAGUUCGCGCCCUAUCAGCUUGUUGGCGGGGUAACGGCCCACCAAGGCAAUGACGGGUAGCUGGUCUGAGAGGAUGACCAGCCACACUGGAACUGAGACACGGUCCAGACACCUACGGGUGGCAGCAGUCGAGAAUCAUUCACAAUGGGCGAAAGCCUGAUGGUGUGACGCCGCGUGGAGGAUGAAGGUCUUCGGAUUGUAAACUCCUGUCAAGUGAGAGUAAAGCCGGGCGUUAACUGCGUGCCGGUUUGAGAGUAUCACUAGAGGAAGAGACGGCUAACUCUGUGCCAGCAGCCGCGGUAAUACAGAGGUCUCAAGCGUUGUUCGGAAUCACUGGGCGUAAAGGGUGCGUAGGCCGCACGGUAAGUCAGAGGUGAAAUCCCGGAGCUCAACUUCGGAAUUGCCUCCGAUACUGCCGUGCUUGAGGACUGGAGAGGAGAUUGGAAUUCACAGUGGAGCAGUGAAAUGCGUAGAUAUUGUGAGGAACACUAGUGGCGAAGGCGAAUCUCUGGACAGUUCCUGACGCUGAGGCACGAAGGCCAGGGGAGCAAACGGGAUUAGAUACCCCGGUAGUCCUGGCAGUAAACGGUGCACGCUUGGUGUGGCAGGAUUCGACCCCUGCCGUGCCGGAGCUAACGCGUUAAGCGUGCCGCCUGGGAAGUACGGCCGCAAGAUUAAAACUCAAAGAAAUUGACGGGGACCCGCACAAGCGGUGGAGUAUGUGGCUUAAUUCGAUGCAACGCGAAGAACCUUACCUGGGCUUGACAUGCAUUUUGUCGGCGGUGAAAGCCGUCUAGUGGAGCAAUCCACGGGAUGCACAGGUGUUGCAUGGCUGUCGUCAGCUCG
rnacentral:rRNA from 1 species